rnacentral:lncRNA from 1 species
UUCGGAGUCUUGUCUACAAAAAAGUAUAGAAAAGCAAUGUCCAAAAAGUUGUGCUUCUUGUGAUGAUUGUGAGGAUUUGAUUAAUUCAGACUUAUGCAGUGGGUACAAACAUCGGUGUGGUGAAGAUACUAGUGUUCAAUAUGCGUGUAGAAAAACAUGCGGACUUUGUGAUGAUAGUUGCAAUGAUGCCAGCGUUCAUGAAAGCUUAUGUUAUAAAUUUGAAAACAAGGGAUAUUGC